rnacentral:piRNA from 1 species
UAGAAGCUGAGGGCCUGGUGACAGCU